AACGAACGCUGGCGGCAGGCCUAACACAUGCAAGUCGAGCGAGGACUUCGGUCCUAGCGGCGGACGGGUGAGUAACGCGUGGGAACGUGCCCUUUGCUUCGGAAUAGCCCUGGGAAACUGGGAGUAAUACCGGAUGAGCCCUUUGGGGGAAAGAUUUAUCGGCGAAGGAUCGGCCCGCGUUGGAUUAGGUAGUUGGUGGGGUAAUGGCCUACCAAGCCGACGAUCCAUAGCUGGUUUGAGAGGAUGAUCAGCCACACUGGGACUGAGACACGGCCCAGACUCCUACGGGAGGGAGCAGUGGGGAAUCUUAGAAAAUGGGGGAAACCCUGAUCUAGCCAUGCCGCGUGAGCGAUGAAGGCCUUAGGGUUGUAAAGCUCUUUCAGCUGGGAAGAUAAUGACGGUACCAGCAGAAGAAGCCCCGGCUAACUCCGUG
rnacentral:rRNA from 1 species